AUUGAAGUGGCAGAAAUAUGCGUCAAGUUUAAGCCUUGAAGAUGGGAUUGAGUUAUGUUCCCCUUCAGUA
rnacentral:tRNA from 1 species